CAAGUGUGCUGCACACGGCUGUAGAUGUGGUGUGCUCACAACGGCUGCUCCACAGUGAGAACAGUGGCCCUAGCAGAUGAUGAAGAUUUCCUUAGGCACUGUGGAUGCUACACACCUGUACCGCUGGCACGGGCCUCUGGCACUGUGGCCCCCGAAGGGUCCCAUGGCCCAAAUCUUACAAAGUUCAGCUGCUUCUCCCCUUGCCCCCACCCCGGU
rnacentral:lncRNA from 1 species